ACGAACGCUGGCGGCAGGCUUAACACAUGCAAGUCGAGCGCCCCGCAAGGGGAGCGGCAGACGGGUGAGUAACACGUGGGAACGUACCCUUUUCUACGGAAUAACCCAGGGAAACUUGGACUAAUACCGUAUGUGCCCUUCGGGGGAAAGAUUUAUCGGAAAAGGAUCGGCCCGCGUUGGAUUAGCUAGUUGGUGGGGUAAAGGCCUACCAAGGCGACGAUCCAUAGCUGGUCUGAGAGGAUGAUCAGCAACAUUGGGACUGAGACACGGCCCAAACUCCUACGGGAGGCAGCAGUGGGGAAUAUUGGACAAUGGGCGCAAGCCUGAUCCAGCCAUGCCGCGUGAGUGAUGAAGGCCUUAGGGUUGUAAAGCUCUUUCACCGGAGAAGAUAAUGACGGUAUCCGGAGAAGAAGCCCCGGCUAACUUCGU
rnacentral:rRNA from 1 species